GACGAGGCUGGCGGUUGCCUAAUGUUGUAUGUCGAGCGAUUUGCCUAUAUGUUUUGGUGGUUGCCCAUAUGAAUCUAGAUACAACCGAGCGCCGAAAGGGCAGCCAAAACGGGUAAAAUACGCCAAAGACAGUGAUAACACCCCGGAAAACAUACGCUAAACCCGAAACAACACACCAUACAUUCUCUAGAUUAAAAGAUGGUUUUGCCAUCACUCUUGGAGGGGCGCCAGGGCCUUACUUCUUAGGAAGGGACCUCUUUUCUACGUACUGGCCUUUUCCCUCUCUAUCACCCUAUUCCCCCCCCUUGGGCUGGGUUUCCCUUACCACCUUUUUUUCCGCCACAUCAAA
rnacentral:rRNA from 1 species